rnacentral:rRNA from 1 species
CCUACGGGGGCAGCAGUGGGGAAUAUUGGACAAUGGGGGGAACCCUGAUCCAGCCAUGCCGCGUGUGUGAAGAAGGCCCUCGGGUUGUAAAGCACUUUCAGUGAGGAAGAACGCCUGGUGGUUAAUACCCAUCAGGAAAGACAUCACUCACAGAAGAAGCACCGGCUAACUCCGUGCCAGCAGCCGCGGUAAUACGGAGGGUGCGAGCGUUAAUCGGAAUUACUGGGCGUAAAGCGCGCGUAGGUGGCUUGAUAAGCCGGUUGUGAAAGCCCCGGGCUCAACCUGGGAACGGCAUCCGGAACUGUCAAGCUAGAGUGCAGGAGAGGAAGGUAGAAUUCCCGGUGUAGCGGUGAAAUGCGUAGAGAUCGGGAGGAAUACCAGUGGCGAAGGCGGCCUUCUGGACUGACACUGACACUGAGGUGCGAAAGCGUGGGUAGCAAACAGGAUUAGAUACCCUGGUAGUC